rnacentral:rRNA from 1 species
GACGAACGCUGGCGGCGUGCUUAACACAUGCAAGUCGAACGGUAAGGCCCUUCGGGGUACACGAGUGGCGAACGGGUGAGUAACACGUGGGUGAUCUGCCCUGCACUUCGGGAUAAGCCUGGGAAACUGGGUCUAAUACCGGAUAGGACCACUGCCUGCAUGGGUGGUGGUGGAAAGCUUUUGCGGUGUGGGAUGGGCCCGCGGCCUAUCAGCGUGUUGGUGGGGUGAUGGCCUAACAAGGCGACGACGGGUAGCCGGCCUGAGAGGGUGACCGGCGACACUGGGACUGGGAUACGGCCCAGACUCCUACGGGAGGCAGCAGUGGGGAAUAUUGCACAAUGGGCGCAAGCCUGAUGCAGCGACGCCGCGUGAGGGAUGACGGCCUUCGGGUUGUAAACCUCUUUCAGCACCGACGAAGCGCAAGUGACGGUAGGUGCAGAAGAAGGACCGGCCAACUACGUGCCAGCCGCCGCCGUAA